AUUAGAUUAAUAAGAAAUAUAAAGGCAGCCGCUGAUGAAUCAUUAGACACAGAUCAAAUAGCUAACUGCAGAAGAUCUCUCCAUGUGUAUCUUGACUUAAAUAUAUCUUUUAUCACCAUGGUGGAGAAUUCGAUUGACCCAGGCCAUAUCGUCGAAGAAUCAAGAAGCAUAUCGAUGCAGAUAGCUGUAUGUUUUCUGUUAAUGGGGCAGAAUCAAAACGUAUGUCAGAUCUGCAAGAAAAUGGAUGCACACUUAGCUAUACAACCAGGCAGUUCAGUUUUUCAAAAAUUCUUUUUUUAUCUGGAUUGAAGCUCUGAUAAAGCUUCAAAAAUUAGAUAUUGCGAAGAAGAAGAUUGAACAUUACCUUGAACUGACAACGCAAAAGGAAGACAAGGAGGCUGUUAAUCCGUUUUUAGAUCAGAUAGACACAAUUGAGGAAGAGAUAAAAAGACUAGAAGACGAAGUCGUGGAUAGCGACAAUGAAUAUGUAAAGGAUUCUAAUUACACUGGUAUAAAACAGCAAAGACUCAAAGCGAAAGAAAUAAAAGACAAACACAAGAAAAAGAAACGAAAUCGUCGUAAGUAGAAUUAAAACAAAAUUGUAUAAUCUAAAUAAAGGCAACAGUAGUAUACCGCUGUUCAAAAGUUAUAAAUCAAUUGAGAGAAAACAAAUCCGGGUUACAAACUAAAACCGAGGGAAACACAUCAACUAUAAGAGGAAAACAAAGGAACAACAGAAACACUGAAGUGCAACAAAAACAAACACCAAUAUACAUAGAAACGAAUUAUUUGAUAACAACUGCCAUAUUCCUGACUUGGUACUGGACAUUUUAAGAAAAAAUGGUAGGUUGAACCUGGUUUUAUGACUAGCCAAACCUCCCGCUUAUAUGGCAAUGU